rnacentral:rRNA from 1 species
GGGCGCACGCGCGCUACACUGACGGAGCCAGCGAGUCUAACCUUAGCCGAGAGGCUUGGGUAAUCUUGUGAAACUCCGUCGUGCUGGGGAUAGAGCAUUGCAAUUAUUGCUCUUCAACGAGGAAUUCCUAGUAAGCGCAAGUCAUCAGCUUGCGUUGAUUACGUCCC